UCCUUGUAGCUGGAACUACUGUCCGAGCUGCUGUUCCAGAAAAUGAACCAAUGCCUUCUGACCAAUCGGAAUCAAUGACUACGUUUACAUGGACAGCAGUAAUCUAAUUAUUGACCUUAUUCUGAAUCACUUCAGAGCUAACAUAAGACAGAGGCACAAAAAAGGAUGGCUGUAUCGGCAAAUAAAUCAGCGCAGAGGAAAGAGAGAAUAAAAAAUAACUACUGAGGCGGCUCUCAACAUGCACGGCCUUGUUUCGAAUCGGUGUUGCUGUCUAUCACGCUGUCAGAGCCAAUUCGCCGCUCGUUCAAAGUUCAUUUCUUCGCCUCGGCUGCGCUCCGCCUUUGGAGAUGCGGGUGAACAUAGCCCAGGGCGCAAUCACCUAUUCUCUUUCAUUACGGGCAAAAUAGGCAAGGUGAGGGAGAUUAUUCGAACUUUGGAAUGAUCACAAAGCUCGGUGCACCCUGUCAGAUCCCCCCUACGUGUAAUUCAUCUGGCCCUCUCCCUCACCCGCCUCCUGCUCUUCCUCCUCCUCCUCCUCCAACCUCACCUCCAGCGGCGAACGAUGGACAUUAUUCAUGAACAUCUGCGGCGCUCUGAAUAUUGCACAACUGAAGAUGCGGGGUGAUAACGGGGAAGCUGCACCGACCCCUUUGACUUUAAAAUAAAGGCGCCGACGCUGUAAACCGGCCCAAAAAAAAGGACAAGGCCUCUCAUUAGUUUGCAUUAGAAGAUGGCCUGUUGCAAGACGAGUGGAUACGGAUACGUUCGCUAGUGCAACACCUGUGGUUUCAGUUGGAAAAGCGUGAGCAGUUCGAACUUUCAGACUACAUUCGAGCAAAAGACAGAAAAUCCAGCGGGAUUUGGAUAAUAUAACGGUGUUAUGGUUUUGCUGGGUAAAUGUGAUCUAGUGAUGCACACUGCCUUUAAACAAGCACAAAGCUAUACAGGAAUGAAGAGAGGAGUCCAAGUCUAGGUCAGUGUUUUCUCCUUCUCCUUCUCCAGCAGGUAAAGCUCCCCCGAGUGCCCUUCUACAUAAAAGCGAACCCCUCCUUAGGCGAGUACACACACACUUCCUGUUUCCACACACCACUGCGGGGUGUUGUUCUUGUUCUUGAGAGUGGACAGGAAAAGGCCACAAAAACACAGCUGAAAACAAGAUAAACCUACCGCUACAUUACAUCUGACACAAAGAGGGGGGAAAAUAAUCAAAUGCCCUUCAUUAGGAUCAACAUAAAUUAUAACAGCUGAAUAAAUACAGGUGUGCUCAUAAAUUUACAUACCCCUUGCAGAAUGUGCAAAAUGUUAAUAAUAAAAAAAAAAUCAUAAAAAUGCUUCAAAUAAAAAGCUCUUAACGUAUCGUGUUGCCUUCUUGAGCGUCAGUGAACGUUUGCACCUUUUGUACUAGUCGUGUACGAGUCCCUCGUUUGUCCUCAGUGUGAAAAGCUGGAGCUCAGCAUCAUAUAAUCGUUGCUGGAAAGGGGUCAAAUAUGCAGAAGAUUCUGGAAAAGCAAAGAAUGUGCAGGACCUGGAGGAUUUUUCUGAAGAACACUGGGCAGUUUAAUUUCUCAGGACAAACAAGGGACUCAUGAACAGCCAUCACAAAACAUAAUAAGAGUCGUUGAUCAUCCAGGUAACGACACACAGGAUGAACCGGUUCAUUUGUGUAAAUUCAGUUAUUAUUUUGUCUUGUGAAAUAGUUUAUUCAGGGCAGGACUCAAUAAAAAAAACUAAAUGCAAUUUUAACGAUCCGUCUUGUUUAAAAAAAAGAACAACAUUUUCCAGAUUCUGCAAGAGGUGUUUAAAUUUAUGAGCACAACUGUACUCAGAAUAUAUAAAAUAUCUUGUGAAAUAUUUGUUGAUAGAGUGUUUGAAUCUUCUCUGCUACAAAGAUUCAACGCGUCAUGCUUAAAAUUGAAAAAAACCUGAAAAAAAAAAUCAUGUCCAAAAAAACCUCCCAAAAUCUUGCAUUAAACUGACCAACCUGUGAAAGCACAAAAAAAAGCCAAUUUAAUUUUUAACCAAAAAAAGUUCGAUUCUGCAGUCUAUACAGCUGCAUUAUUAGCCAACUAAGAUAUACACUAAUUAACAGUCACAACACAAUAACUGUUAAACAAAAUAUCAACAAAGUUUUAUAGUGCGUUUGUAAAUCUAUCACAUUUUACUUGCACGUGAAAUCCCUAUCCUACACUGGGGAAGAUGUGUGUCUUAGGUUCAAUUUAAAUGAUAAAUAAUGAGCACAUGAGUUAUAAACAAUCCUGCGACAGGUCUUGUUAGAGAAAACGAACUAUUAAUAAACUGUACAAAUGGCACUAGUCAUUAACGCCACUGCUGGGCUUCUAAUCCCUAUUUUAAAACAGCCACAUGUACACAAAUGUUCCCCUAAUCCAAUUUGUUGCUUGUGAAGCUUUUAAACCAAUCCAUCUGGAUUUUUGUCCACUUUCCCUAUUUGGCAACAAACAGACUGGAAUACUGCGUGUAUACACGGCUUAAAAUAAGACAGAAAGAGUGGCUUUGAACAGCGCUUCAGCUGCGAUAUCAGCCGGCCCUUUGACAAGGCCUGAAAUGGGCGUCUGGCUACAACCGCCGCUUAUUGCGAAUGGCAGAUGAGGUUCGCCGUGGCAGUUGGAGGCAAAAUGAGCUUUGACAGCUUUGUCAGGGCGUUCAAGGCAUUCGGUGGCAGGCCGGAGAUUCGGCGCAAUCGCUCGCCUUUCAUCUCCCAAAUGUGGGGCUCAGGAAAUCUCCCCAGAAAAAGAAAAGAGAAGAAAUAAUACUUUUUUUUUCCCUUUUAAAAGCCGGGAAAUAAAUAAAUAAAUAAAAACUCAGACAGGAAUGACAGAUGAUCUUCUGCCUCGUCAGAAUGGGAAGAGUAAAUUUGAGAAGAAAAGGGAAGAAGGAGCGGAGUCGGUGAUGGGCUGGACGCACAACUAACAUGUCAGCAGACGUUAGAGUGGUUUGGAGGAAAACAAAGCGAGAGCAACAACAGCUCUGGUUCUUCCCGCCAUCCCACUCACCAGCACACUGGCUCUAGCACGCUUUCAAGCUCACCGUGGCUCUGGAUGAGAGCUAGUCAUACUCUCAUAUGAGAGAUACCCAGCAGAUCACUAAAGGAAAGAAGAGUAUGCAAGUCAGACACGGUUACAAACAUGAAAGAUGAGGAGAAAAGAAAAGAAAGGGCCCUCUGGUGUUACACACUCAGAUGUAAGGGAAGUGCAAGUCAAUGAGUUUUCAUUUAUUGUUCCACAUAAGGAAUAAACCAUGCUUACAACAUGCUGUUAGAAGAAAACAAUCCACAACUGGGUGCCUGUCACAAAGCAAAGUCACUGCUAACCCCCUCAACUUGAUUUAUUCCAAUAACAGCAUCUCCUGAGGUGUAUUUAUUAAUGAACAGCACGUCAAGAUAUCUAACUGUUUUUAGUUAUUGUAGUUAGCAUAAACGUUCAUUUAAACUACAGCUGGAACUACUGCCAGAGCCGUGCUGUUACAGAAAACCAGUCCACCCACUGUGACAUUGUGUUAUAUUAUGCGACUAUAAAAUGAUCCUUGAUGUGUCUCAAGUCUAUACAUAAGCCCUUGUUUUUUAACAACGUGACCUAUUCUUACUUUUACAGCAUAAAACACAGUGCUGUUUCUUAG